UCUGUAUAAAAGCGUCGUCGCCACCCUAUGACGUUCUUCUCAAAGACGAUUCUUUAGCUGUCGCCUCCUCUUCUCGACAUGAGAGCGAAGUGGAGAAAGAAGCGCAUGCGCAGACUGAAGCGUAAGAGGCGCAAGAUGAGGCAGAGGUCCAAGUAGACUGUCCUCUCCGCCAUGGCUGUGAGCACACGUUGCCUACAACCAGACCGGUGAGCCCAGCUGAAGAGCCAGGACCCUCCCGGUGUCAAGUCUGUCAUUGGUGCCGGUGUCGAUGUGACGCAGUGGAGCUGCAGCAGCCGAUUUACGUCGGAGAGCUGAUUUCAAUACCUGCUGGAUGACAGGCUUUUCCUCGGACAUUCUGGACUCUUUAUUCCUCAACUUUUGUCUUUGUUUAAAAUGUCAUUAAAGGUUUUGGUUUCUAA